rnacentral:rRNA from 1 species
AGCCAUGCAUGUGUAAGUAUAAAGACCAAGAAGGAUGAAACUGCGGACGGCUCAUUAGAACAGUUAUAAUUUCUUUGAUUAGUACGAUACAAGGAAUAGCUUUGUGAAUAAUAAAGAUAAUACUUGAGACGAUCCUGUUCUAUUACUAGAAUAGGCGCAUUUCGAACAGGAAUGUAGAAAAGAAGUUUAUUAAGAAAAAGAACAAAUUUACAAUUGUAGAAAUGAAAUACAUUUUGACAAGGAAUCAAUGAAAAUAUCUGAUCUAUCAACUAGUUGGUAGUAUAGAGGACUACCAAGGUUAUAACGGAUAACGAGAAAUUAGGGUUUGACAUCGGAGAAGGAGCUUUCAAAAUGGCUACUACUUCUAAGGAAGGCAGCAGGCGCGUAAAUUACCCACUUUUAACAGAAAGAGGUAGUGACGACAAAUAACUCUAUUCUUUAACAAAAAGAAUUGAAGGAAUGAACGGAACGUACAUAGUUUUGUGAAAGCAAUUGGAGGGCAAGUCUGGUGCCAGCAGCCGCGGUAAUUCCAGCUCCAAUAGUAUAUAUUAAAGUUGUUGUGAUUAAAAGGCUCGUAGUUGAAUGAAGAUACUAUUGAAAAGGCUUUUCUUUUUAUACAAAAAGAGAAGUUUAGUUAAACAAUAGAAGAAGGAAAUGGAUUACUUUGAAUAAAAUAGAGUGUUUAAAGCAAAACAAUGUUAAUGAAUAAUGAAGCAUGGGACAAUAAGAAGGAGAUUUGAAAGGAUUUCGAGAAGAAGAUUAAAAGGAAUAAUUGGGGUAAUUUAGAAAAAGAUGGGAGAGGUGAAAAUCCAUGAUCAUCUUUAGAUAAACGAGAGCGAAAGCAUUUUACUCAAUUAUAUUCAUUAAUCAAGAUCGAAAGUUAGGGGAACAAAGACGAUCAGAUACCGUCGUAGUCCUAACUAUAAACGAUGUUAACCAAGGAUUGGAUAAAUACAUUAAUACAUUUUGUAUUGUCAUUGUAACUUGUUACAAGAGAAUAGAAAAUGAAAAACAAUACUUUAUUCAGAACUUGAAGAGAAAUCUUGAGUGUAUGAACUUCAGGGGGAGUAUGGUCACAAGGCUGAAACUUAAAGGAAUUGACGGAAGGGCACACCAGGAGUGGAGCCUGCGGCUUAAUUUGACUCAACACGGGAAAACUUACCAAGACCGAACAUAAGAAGGAAUGACAGAUUAAAGGAUCUUUCAUGAUUGUAUGGGGAGUGGUGCAUGGCCGUUCUUAGUUGGUGGAAUGAUUUGUCAGGUUAAUUCCGGUAACGAACGAGACUUAAACCUAUUAAUUAGUUGCAUUUGAAAUGGAAAUGCAGAUAAUCCUAUCAUUAUUAGAAAUAAUAAUACUACUUAAAGGGACACGUAUCAAUCUCUUUUUUAUACAGUAGAUAAUAAUUUGUGUUAUUUUUGAAUAAUAAAAAUUAUAUAGUGUAUCAAAAAGAAAAGAUAAAGGAAGCGUUAAGCAAUAACAGGUCUGUGAUGCCCUUAGACAUCUUGGGCUGCACGCGCGGUACAAUGAAAAUACUAAAGAGUAGUACCUUAUUAGUGGGAUUUUUAUUGCAUUAUAUUGUAUAAUGGAGUAAAAAGAAACAGUAGUAGUACAAAUUUGAAAAAAGGAGUAAAACUCAAAAAAUUAUGCAUGACAGGGAUUAAUGAUUGGAAUUAUUUGUUAUGAACGAGGAAUUCCUUGUAAAAUUGUGUCAUUAACAUAAGUUGAAUACGUCCCUGCCCUUUGUACACACCGCCCGUCGCUCCUACCGAUUGAAUAAAGAGGUGAAAUUCUAGGAUUGUUUUUGAGCAAUUGAAAAUGAAAAUAGAUGUGAACCUCCUUAUUUAGAGGAAGGAGAAGUCGUAACAAGGUUUCCGUAGGUGAACCUGCGGAAGGAUCAUUAGAAACUGUUUGUUUUCUUUUGGAAGAAUGAAUGAAUUUUACAGAAAUUGUGUAUUGAUAUUGAUUGUUGUAAUGUGAGUAAUUGGAGUAUUGUUAUAAAAGGAUAGAAAGAUAUCAUUGUGGAUAGUUUAGUUUCCCAGACGAUGAAGAACGUAAUGAAUUGCGAUAAUUACUUUGAAAUAUAAAAUAUGAAAAGUAAGUAUUUGAAUGCAUGAAAGUAUUUAAUUAACCUUUAAUUAAAUAUAAAAAUUUCACCAUCCUCUUUUUAAAAUAAUGUAUGUUAUAAUAAAUCAAUUACAGCAAUUGAUUAAAUUAUCAAUUCAUUAAUGUAAAUAUCAUUAAUGAGUUGUUUUUAAAAAAGAUUUGAUAUUUUUAAGAUGACUCUCU